UACGAAGGUGGCUAGCGUUGUUCGGAAUCACUGGGCGUAAAGCGCACGUAGGCGGACCUAUAAGUCAGGGGUGAAAUCCCGGGGCUCAACCUCGGAACUGCCUUUGAUACUGUGGGUCUCGAGACCGGAAGAGGUGAGUGGAAUUCCUAGUGUAGAGGUGAAAUUCGUAGAUACUAGGAAGAACACAAGUGGCGAAGGCGGCUCACUGGUCCGGUUCUGACGCUGAGGUGCGAAAGCGUGGGGAGCAAACAGG
rnacentral:rRNA from 1 species